rnacentral:lncRNA from 1 species
UAUAUGAAAUAUUCCAAAAGGAAUGUUUCAUAAGUUAACCUUCCAGAAUUCUAAUUUCAGAUUUUCUGAGUGAUAACCUUUCUUUUCUACCCAUAAGAAAAAAAAAAACUCCAUAGGUAGCAUAGUGUAGUGUUUCCCAACACUUGAUUUCUUUUAGUGACACAUAUAAAUUCUUACGUUUCUGUGAAAUUGUACCUUGUACCAUGAAAUGGGUACCAAUCGAGAGGCUUUGUAUUCAAAAGCUCAGUCCUUGAAAUUAAUACGGCUUACUGGUAAUGAAGAAAAUCUGAAGGAAAAACAGGAUGCAUGGACAAGAAUAACUCCUUUUACUGAUUCUUUAUAUUUGAUUGCAGGUCACCUGGAUUCUUCAGGACUUCAGGAAGUGCAUUUAGCUGGGAUGAAUCAUGACCAGCACCUAAUGAAAUGUAGCCCAGUGAGUAGCCUCUCUUUUUUUGGGUUUUGUUUUGCUUUUCAGGUGGGAGGCAGAGGGUUUCCAUUGCACCUGUGGCUUGAGGAUGCUGGACGUUCUCAGCAAA